CUCAGCCAGGGCAAGACUAAGGAGCUGGGUGAGGGACCGGAAGGGCUGGAAGGGGUGGGCACCUGGGGGCUGCGGCGAGUGGCGAUGGGCGAGCCGGACUUGCACGUGGAGAAAGCAUAUUGCCAAAUAUCAGAUCAUAAAGGACAGGAAUUCUGAAGAGGAUAAAAUCGUAGACAGACCAUUACCAAAGGAGUUGGACUUGGAGCUGUCUAUCCCAAGCUCAUACCAGCUUCCUGGGGCAACCAAUGAGUGGUCUACACAGAAGUAUACUCUGUCAUUUCACUCCAAUUCAGAAGAACUCUGAAGGGCCAUCCCAACUUCAGAGCUUCCCAGGAGGUUAGCUAAAGCUUUGUUGUGAUGACUUUGGAGCUCAACUUCCCUGUGUGUCCAAUCCUGCCUUCUUCUCUCUCUUCUACAGGCGAACAGUCAGCUUCAACAAGCAGCAGGUUUGAUCAACCAUUCUUCUCAGAGCAAGAAACCUACCAUACUGCAUUUCUUCCUGCUAUCAUGUGAAGAAGAACGUGUUUGCUUCCCCUUCUACCAUGAUUCACGUGAGGACACAAGAAGAAGGCAUCUGUUUACACACCAGGAGGAGAGACCUCACAAGAACCCAAUCAUGAUGGCACUUUGAUCUUAGACCGCCAGCCUCCAGAACAGUGAGAAAAUAAAUUUCUGUUGUUUAUGC
rnacentral:lncRNA from 1 species